rnacentral:rRNA from 1 species
CCUACGGGAGGCAGCAGUGAGGAAUAUUGGUCAAUGGGCGGGAGCCUGAACCAGCCAAGCCGCGUGAGGGAAGAAGGUACAGCGUAUCGUAAACCUCUUUUGUCAGGGAACAAAGGCGGGGACUAGUCCCCGGAUGAGGGUACCUGAAGAAAAAGCAUCGGCUAACUCCGUGCCAGCAGCCGCGGUAAU